UGAAUGAUGACAUUAAAGAACAUCUAAUAUAGAGAUAUCUAUGAUUCAUCGGUGAAACUAAUCUUCCACGAUGUCCUUGCUUUUACGUGUAUUAAUUUCUAACACGCUUUAUAUAUAUAUUAUGUGUAUAUAUUUAAAAUUCAUAUAUAUACGUAAGUACAUAUAUGACGAAUGUGAGGCAAACGUGAAACAGUGUUAGUGUGAUCUCAAUCAUAAUACUUUUCGUACUAACGUGACAAUUUGACGAACGCGAGUGCAUAUUUAAUCAUAAUGUGUCAAAGGAUUUGUUAUAACAAAGAAAGGAUUUAAUGGAGUGUGCAGCGUCCAGUGAAUGAGUAAUUCUAUGCAAUAAAAAGGAUAUAUGCGAUGGUGACAGGACACGUUCUCUACUUUUAGUGUGAUUUUAUGGAAGUUCUUCGAAAUCAACGCAUCAGAAGGAAAAACUUGAAGUGUAAUGGAGAAUUAAUAGGAGAAAUCUUUUAUAAAUAAUUGAUCUCUUAUUAAUUACUUUCGAAGAAACGACAUAUAAUAUUGAUUUUAUAUUUUUAUUUGGCACGGAAAACAUUUAUCGGUACAUAAAAGCUUCUCUCAUUAUCAAGACUUACUAUUACUAUGCAAAAAAUACGAUGGACGCAGAAACAACGUUGCAACAUGGUCACGAGAAAAUCGUUUAACGUUUCUAAAAGCAGUGAAACACGGAUGUUCAUGGAUAUGUAUGUAAAUCUGGAAGAGUCAACGUCCGUAUUCCGUUAACUCUAAGCAAACUCUUCAGACUCGUACAGAAAUCUUCGCUAUCUCUAUCCGCCGUACGACUUUCGUUAUUUAAUCGUGAAAUCCUUUCUCUAAUAUUACUGCAUUCAUUAAAUUGUAAAUUAAGUUUCAUGAGGAAUACAAAAUUCGUUAAGAAAAUCUUUCAUGACUAGGUAUUGCGAACAUACAUUUUAUUAUCCUACUUAUAUCUCGACUGUAAGAUAAAAAUUAUGGUUUAAAAAUUCUUAUCUAUUUUAUUUAACUAUUGCAAAUUAUGUUAUUUAAAUAGAUCCGCAAUUUAUACUUCUUUAUGAUUUAAUAGUGAAUUAAUAUAUAAAACUUCUUAGUGAAUUAAUCUACAAAAUUUUUUAUUCCAUACUACUAUCAUUAUCCUGAUCAGCCAAGUGUCUCUUCUUUGCCGGAAAUUCAAACUUCGAAGAAAUACCAUUUUAUGAGUUAGAAAAGGUAUCACAAAGAACAAUAAAAAAACUCGAAGAAAUAAUUAAU